AGUGGUGCCGUUGCGUGAAAAUUGUAUACGGACACAUUAUCGCUGUGUGUAGUGCACAUAUGAGUCCGGGUCUAGUGUAUGGAGGACGGAGGAAAAUAAGGACGAUAACAGGGAUCUGUCUCUAGGUCCCAGACGUAGGAUGCUGUCAAUCUCACCUGCCAUGUCGACCCCAUCAACGACGAUGCAUCUUUCGUGGCCUCGACUGCUGAGGCUAAGCGAACUUUUGCAGGCGUCUGCUUGUUCCACGAUACUCACUCUGGGGCCCAGCACACUAUCCAUCGAUUGAUUCGCAUAUGUUCUUAACAGAAACUCGAUGUGUGCACGCAUAUAUAGCACACCUAUAAGCGAUGCUGUGGUUAUUAAAGCUGACUGGUCCUUCAGGUCACAGAAGAUCGACAGCCCCGCUAAUUUUCUAAGGCUUCUUCGACGGAACCUGCUUAGUAUAUAAGACACGCUGUUAUGAGGUAUGCGGUUGGCGCUGAGAUCAAGACGCGUUACAAACUCGUUCACGAAAUCCUUUUCUGCAUGGAACGACGAGGAGCCACUGUCCGUCCCCGACAUGCGGUUCAACACUGGUGAAUGCAUGGCGGACUUAGCCCAGCCACAUUGGUUGUUAAUAAUAUGUUCUUAGUGGCAUCAUUCCAAAGGUUAUUCAUUAUAUUGUCGGCUGGGUGUCGGCGAACGUCGUUACUCCAAUCACAAAGCCAAAAUAUGCCCACUACUUUACGCAUUUCAAAAAGUCUAGAGCCAAUCACGGACAGAGGGGCGUACAAAAUUCCGAAUCGCCGAAGAAGCAUCCAGUAAAGGCGUCAAAAUACCUGACAACUGUAGCAGCCUCUUCUGUUCGAUGACUGUUAUCCUAGCUACCCACGUUGAAUGAAGCGAAACCUCCUUUUGCUGAAGUGCUAUGAACCUGCAUUAUCAAUAAGGUCAUGUAAUUCACC
rnacentral:lncRNA from 11 species